UCUCGGCUUAUCACCGGCAGUCCCCCUAGAGUGCCCAACUGAAUGAUGGCAACUAGGGGCGAGGGUUGCGCUCGUUGCGGGACUUAACCCAACAUCUCACGACACGAGCUGACGACAGCCAUGCACCACCUGUGAUGGUGUCCCGAAGGAAGGGUGUGUUUCCACACCUGUCACCAACAUGUCCAACCUGGGUAAGGUUCUGCGCGUUGCGUCGAAUUAAACCACACGCUCCGCUGCUUGUGCGGGUCCCCGUCAAUUCCUUUGAGUUUUAGCCUUGCGGCCGUACUCCCCAGGCGGGGUGCUUAAUGCGUUAGCUUCGGCACGGACGGAGUCGACACCGCCCACACCUAGCACCCAUCGUUUACGGCGUGGACUAC
rnacentral:misc_RNA from 1 species